rnacentral:rRNA from 1 species
CGGCGGACGGGUGAGUAACACGUGGAUAACCUACCUAUAAGACUGGGAUAACUUCGGGAAACCGGAGCUAAUACCGGAUAAUAUAUUGAACCGCAUGGUUCAAUAGUGAAAGACGGUUUUGCCGUCACUUAUAGAUGGAUCCGCGCCGCAUUAGCUAGUUGGUAAGGUAACGGCUUACCAAGGCAACGAUGCGUAGCCGACCUGAGAGGGUGAUCGGCCACACUGGAACUGAGACACGGUCCAGACUCCUACGGGAGGCAGCAGCG